UAGGGAAUCUUCCGCAAUGGACGAAAGUCUGACGGAGCAACGCCGCGUGAGUGAAGAAGGAUUUCGGUUCGUAAAACUCUGUUGUUAGGGAAGAAAAAAUGUAUAGUAACUAUAUACAAAAGAGACGGUACCUAACCAGAAAGCCACGGCUAACUACGUGCCAGCAGCCGCGGUAAUACGUAGGGGGCAAGCGUUGUCCGGAAUUAUUGGGCGUAAAGCGCGCGCAGGUGGUUUAGAAAGUCUGAUGUGAAAGCCCACGGCUCAACCGUGGAGGGUCAUUUGAAACUAAUAAACUUGAGUGCAGGAGAGAAAAGUGGAAUUCCUAGUGUAGCGGUGAAAUGCGUAGAGAUUAGGAGGAACACCGGUGGCGAAAGCGGCUUUUUGGCCUGCAACUGACACUGAGGCGCGAAAGCGUGGGGAGCAAACAGG
rnacentral:rRNA from 1 species